rnacentral:lncRNA from 1 species
AAUAAAGGGGGGCGGUGAGGGUGAUGAAAUUGGGGGGUUAAGGUCUUUAGGGAUUACUCAUUGGAAAGAAAAAGAGACAGGAGAGAGAGAGAGAGGAAAGGGGAGAGAAAAAAAGCACCCCCUAAGACGUGCGAACAGCAAUCUCGCCUCCAUUCAGCCAUUUGAAUGUCAAGGGCGAGGGUCAAGAGACCUGUUUCCAACAGGGUUUCACGUUCAGAACCAGAAGGGAAAAGGAAGGGGGGCGGCGGGAGGGGGCAUCUGGUUGCCAAGGAGAAAUCGGCUUUGUUUUCGUUUCCCCUUAGCUACUGGGUGAGGAGGGGCGGGGUGCGGAGAGGAGGAGGGGGGCGCUC